GUAGAAAAUUAAAACCAAGGGCAUCCGCCAUGCGUAAAAGAUUUAAAUGAUAAGACAGUUAAUUUUAAAUUGUGUUUAAUACCGACCAUUUGUCACUAUAGUAUUAAUGUAUUAUAUAUGUUAUUUAGUUCUGAUACGGUCGCGGUACAACAGAGGGAAAUUGUAUAUAAUGGCGCUAGCUAUGUAUUUCAUUGCAAUCUGUUUCAAGUAGAAAACUAACGCAUGUGUUCACGUGAAUUUGGGUUAAAACAGUCUCCACCGUGAACGUAGAUUCGUAGAACAUUCAGUUUGUUAUCUCCUGGAAUGCUAAUAAUGAACGCGUCAAUUGGCGUCGACCGCGGUCUACCGGUAGUCCGCGGACCUAUCUCAGGUCGACCGUGACAGGUGUAAUAAAAAAAAAUCAAAAAAUCUGCUGUGGCGUUAUAAUUGCCAAAUCAUUAAUUUUAUCAAUACUUUGUACAAAAAAUACGGACCGUGUUAAGAGGGCGUACCUGUACGGCAGCAGGCAAAAAAUCCAAUAUGACGAUUACUAUGACGUAACAAUCGGAACAAUAGCGAUUAUUUUACAAUAAUUUCCUUAACCUGGUCUGCAUGAUUUGUACACUAAUAACUCUGUGCUUCAAACUAAGUAUUUUUGACUAUAUUCCCCAAAAUUUUGAUCCUUUUAGAACGGUACACGGGGCUAUGAGAGGGAUUUUCCUGCAAAAACACAACUAAGCUCCGCUAAAGAUGACGUGUGAGGUGUGACGCAACAAUUGUAUGUGUGACGUUUUUCGUUUGUUACAUUUCAGUUAGUUUUGGUAACGAAGUCAUUGAAAUUUGUGUAGUAAUUAAAGUAGUUUUGUUGCUGAUAAGUUAAAACCAUGAGCAUGGUUCAUUGAACAGCUGCAGUUGCUUAUACAGGGGAUAAACACAUACAAGAGAUAUUUCAGCAUACGUUGACGCUAGCUGGUGGACCGCGUGCAGUUGGUUAGUUGAAAAGUAGAUGUUGGGUCAAAAAAGGUUGGGCACGCCUGACGUAAAUAAUCAAAGUGUGAAUCGCCACUAUGUCUUUUAAGUGUGAAUCGCCACUAUGUCUUUAUGGUUGAGGGAAACUUUGGUAAAGAUCGACUUUAUUACUUCAAGAAUGUAUUAACAACUGUAGGCUUAACGAUACGCCGAUACUGAUAAACGAUCCUGAUAACGCAGUAUUUAAAUAUGACGGCAGGUUUUAGAGUUUAGACCGGCCCCUUUUUUGGGUUCUGGCUACAUGACAACCUCUUAUACAUGACGUUGAAACUAGAGUAAACUGCGAUGUAAGUAUAUGAUGUUUUAUAGUGACAACAAUUUUGGACAGCGGGGUAAUUCUAUUGAAAACCCGGUGGGGUACUUGAAAUGCGUCUACUGGAUAUGUUGGAAUAUUUAUUAAACCAAACAUUGAGCCGGAUUUAUUUGAACCUUGUAAAAAUUUUGAAACUACCAAGAACCGAAUGUUGUUACGUCACAGACACAAAUGCUUUUAUCGCACGAUAAGUUGCCAGGCAACCGAAACGUACCUUGACUAACGUCUCCGUUAGAACUGCGGUCUGGAACAUUUAUAAACGCUGGAUUUUUAUUAUUUUAAUACUUUAAUGGAAAUAUCAAUGAUCCUAUCGAGUUAUUCUAGUAUUAUCUGUGCGAAUAUGAUCUAUAAGUUUGCGUAAGAAAGCCAAUAAACAUGACGCACGCAUUAAAAUUUCACGGCCUGCGAGAGUACCCUGGUAUUUGUGAGGGCCUGCGCGCAGGCCUUGCAGGCCCGCAUUCAGCGCCUAUGGCAUCACAAUACAGCUUGUGAGCUAACAGUUAAGUUGGUAGACGUACAUUUAACUAAUAGUAAUGUAAAUCUAGUCAGAAGUUGAAGCGUAAACAGCUUCAAUCGUCGACAUGUAAUGGUUUAUAAAAUACUUAAAUCGUUUGCGCUCGUUUACUUCGUUAUGGAACAAUUAAUAGGCAACGUGCCAAAUUCCAGUAUGCAUUUGCCUAAAAUGUCCGACCGCAUUAGGUGCCUAUGGGUGUUCAGUUUCAUACGCCUUGUGCCAGCUUACGAAUUACUACAAGUUUAACUGUGUGAGUGAUUGUUGAACAUGUUAGUGGUCAUAUAGAUCGUUGUUUUUUGGCGUGACUUUUUCUGCACUUAUCUCAAUUCCUAAAUCUAGCGUUUAUUCUUUAUUCUCUUGAUUGAAAUCAAAUCAUAAUAUAUAUUUAUAAUUUUUUGACUAAAUUUUCAGAUUUGAAAGCUCAUGAUUAGGGAUUAAUUAUCGAUUACCUUUCUCAUGUACUUUAACUUAACGAAAACACUGUCUGGAAAUUUGGGAGGGCACGUGUUGGUGAGAUAAGAAAUCCACACAACGAUUCACGACUGAAUCAACUGUUACCAUUUAAGUGGGGAUUAAAUUUUGUAGUAAAAGGAUUAAUUAAUAAUAUGCUAAUUGUUUUAAACGUGUUCACACAUUAGAUCUUUGAUCUCUUGUUUUUACUAGAUUUUUGUUAUGUAUGACAAACAAUUUAGACAACUGCUGUAAAUCGUCUUGCCAAAAAACACACAGGCCUACAAUGUUAGCAGCAAUAGGCCUUGAAGCCAUAAACUCUGGGUCAGAGGUAUCUGCGCUAACCAAUCUUCAGAUGAUGUGUCAAAAACAUAGAUGCUCGGUCACCAACUUUUGAGCUGCGGUUCAGCUCGAUACAACACUAGCCUGCACCCUAACACACAAUUGACACCCAUGAUGUUACCUACUGAGAACAUGUCGGUCCAGAUCAACUAUGUUGUCUCUAUUAUUGAAAUAUCUUGAAUAGACGUUUUAAAUUUACACUGAUCCUUUGUUUCCUAGUAUCAAAUAUCAGUUUAUUAGUAAAAAGCAGAAGUUCAAUUUUGUUUAGAAGUAAACUUUGUCAGUUUCCAAGAGAUUAUUCCCCAAAAAAUCAUUUUGUUAUUGGCGUGCAGUUAUUUUACCCAAACGUCUAUCAAAUUAAGUUAUGUUCCGGUUCUCUCUUUUGUUACGUCAUCGCCUUUUUUCUCUCGCAUUCUCUUUGUUCAUUACGUGGCAAUUUCAGUUUAGUUUAUACUUAAGUGAUUUGAAUGAACGUUGGUUGGUAAUCUUCUGUAGUGAACGGAAGUAGUUUAUAGCCACAAAUUUUCAGUUACCGCAAUCCGCAAUUCGCAAUCCGCAAUCCACAAACAAUACACUUAAAAGAUUUGCGCGUUUGACUGUUUGGCUAUAACACUAACGAAGAAACAAAAUAAACAAAAAGAGACAGAGUCCAAAAGACCUGCCCAAUAACA